GGAGUUGCCGGAGGGUGCGGCCGCCCAGAGCGCACCCCGAGCGCCGGCGAGCGGCGCGGUGAGACCCUCGUGCAGUAGAGACGGAGUUUCACCAUGUUGGCCAGGAUGGUCUUCAACUUCUAACUUCGUGAUCCACGCUGCUGGGAUUACAGGUGUGAGCCACCGCGUGUGGCCUCUGGGCACCUUUUGAAGGCUGGAGUGCAGUGGCGAGAUCUCGGCUCACCGCAACCUCCGCCUCCCGGGUUCAAGCGAUUCUCCUGCCUCAGCCUCCCGUGUAGCUGGGAUUACAGGUGGUUUCACCCCAACAUCAGCAGGGUGGAGGCGGAGAAGCUGUUCCUAUCCAGAGGUCAGCGUGGGGACUUCCUUGCCAGGCCCAGUGAGAGCAGCCCGGGGGGCUUCACGCUGUCCGUCAGGUAGCUGAAGCAGAGAGAGAAGGCGGCAGGCAUCAGCGUUUUCUUCUAUGAACUUAUAAGAUCAAAGACUUUAAGACUUUCACUAUUUCUUCUACCGCUAUCUACUACGAACUUCAAAGAGGAACCAGGAGUACGGAAGGAGCAUGAAAGUGGACAAGGAACGUGACCAUUGAAGCACCACAGGGAGGGGUUCAGGCCUCCGGAUGACUGCAGGCAGGCCUGGGUAACAUCCAGCCUCCCACAAGAAGCUGGUGGAGCAGAGCGUUCCCUGACUCCUCCAAGGAAAGGAGACUCCCUUUCCCGGUCUGCUCAGUAACGGGUGCCUUCCCAGACACUGGCGUUACCGCUUGACCAAGGGGCCCUCAAGCGGCCCUUAUGCGGGCAUGACAGAAGGCUCCCCUCUUGCCUUCUAUUCACUUCUCACAAUGUCCCUUCAGCACCUGACCCUAUACCUGCCGGUUAUUCCUAGGUUAUAUUAUUAAUGCAACAGAGUAAUAUUAAAAGCUAAUGAUUAAUAAUGUUUAUAAUAAUGAUGGAUAAUUGUUCAUGAUCAUCGCUGUAUCUAAUUUGUAUUAUGACUAUUCUUAUUCUAUUUUCUUUAUUAUACUGAAACAGUUUGUGCCUUCAGUC
rnacentral:lncRNA from 1 species